GAUGAACGCUGGCGGCGUGCCUAAUACAUGCAAGUCGAGCGAACGGACGAGAAGCUUGCUUCUCUGAUGUUAGCGGCGGACGGGUGAGUAACACGUGGAUAACCUACCUAUAAGACUGGGAUAACUUCGGGAAACCGGAGCUAAUACCGGAUGAUAUUUUGAACCGCAUGGUUCAAAAGUGAAAGACGGUCUUGCUGUCACUUAUAGAUGGAUCCGCGCUGCAUUAGCUAGUUGGUAAGGUAACGGCUUACCAAGGCAACGAUGCAUAGCCGACCUGAGAGGGUGAUCGGCCACACUGGAACUGAGGCACGGUCCAGGCUCCUACGGGAGGCAGCAGUAGGGAAUCUUCCGCAAUGGGCGAAAGCCUGACGGAGCAACGCCGCGUGAGUGAUGAAGGUCUUCGGAUCGUAAAACUCUGUUAUUAGGGAAGAACAUAUGUGUAAGUAACUGUGCACAUCUUGACGGUACCUAAUCAGAAAGCCACGGCUAACUACGUG
rnacentral:rRNA from 1 species